CCUACGGGGGGCAGCAGUGGGGAAUAUUGCACAAUGGGGGAAACCCUGAUGCAGCGACGCCGCGUGAGUGAAGAAGUAAUUCGUUAUGUAAAGCUCUAUCAGCAGGGAAGAAAAUGACGGUACCUGAGUAAGAAGCCCCGGCUAACUACGUGCCAGCAGCCGCGGUAAUACGUAGGGGGCAAGCGUUAUCCGGAUUUACUGGGUGUAAAGGGAGCGUAGACGGCAGUGCAAGUCUGGAGUGAAAGGCGGGGGCUCAACCCCCGGACUGCUCUGGAAACUGUACGGCUUGAGUGCAGGAGAGGUAAGUGGAAGUCCUAGUGUAGCGGUGAAAUGCGUAGAUAUUAGGAGGAACACCAGUGGCGAAGGCGGCUUACUGGACUGUAACUGACGUUGAGGCUCGAAAGCGUGGGGAGCAAACAGGAUUAGAUACCCCUGUAGUC
rnacentral:rRNA from 1 species